rnacentral:tRNA from 1 species
GGAGAGAUGUCCGAGUGGCUGAAGGAGCACGCUUGGAAAGCGUGUUUGGGGGAAACUCCAACGUGGGUUCGAAUCCCACUCUCUCCGCCA